GCGCCAGUGGUGUAAGGUGUAGCAUCACUGCCCGGAAAGCAGAAGGUGUGGGUUCGAGUCCCGCCUUGCGCA
rfam:Heligmosomoides polygyrus genome assembly, scaffold: HPBE_scaffold0001344